UACGUAGGCAGCGAGCGUUGCUCGGAAUCACUGGGCGUAAAGGGUGCGUAGGCGGGUCUUUAAGUCAGGGGUGAAAUCCUGGAGCUCAACUCCAGAACUGCCUUUGAUACUGAAGAUCUUGAGUUCGGGAGAGGUGAGUGGAACUGCGAGUGUAGAGGUGAAAUUCGUAGAUAUUGGGAAGAACACCGGUGGCGAAGGCGGCUCACUGGCUCAUUACUGACGCUCAGGCGCGAUAGCGUGGGGAGCAAACAGG
rnacentral:rRNA from 1 species